CUACGUGCCAGCAGCCGCGGUAAUACGGAGGGUGCAAGCGUUAAUCGGAAUUACUGGGCGUAAAGCGCACGCAGGCGGUUUGUUAAGUCAGAUGUGAAAUCCCCGCGCUUAACGUGGGAACUGCAUUUGAAACUGGCAAGCUAGAGUCUUGUAGAGGGGGGUAGAAUUCCAGGUGUAGCGGUGAAAUGCGUAGAGAUCUGGAGGAAUACCGAUGGCGAAGGCAGCCUCCUGGGAUAACACUGACGUUCAUGCUCGAAAGCGUGGGUAGCAAACAGGAUUAGAUACCCUGGUAGUCCACGCCCUAAACGAUGUCAAUUAGCUGUUGGGCAACUUGAUUGCUUAGUAGCGUAGCUAACGCGUGAAAUUGACCGCCUGGGGAGUACGGUCGCAAGAUUAAAACUCAAAGGAAUUGACGGGGACCCGCACAAGCGGUGGAUGAUGUGGAUUAAUUCGAUGCAACGCGAAGAACCUUACCUGGUCUUGACAU
rnacentral:rRNA from 1 species